UGAACGCUGGCGGUAUGCUUAACACAUGCAAGUCGUACGAGAGUUUUUAACUCAAGUGGCGGACGGGUGAGUAACACGUGAGAAUCUGCCUUUAGGAGGGGGAUAACAAUUGGAAACGAUUGCUAAUACCCCAUAUGCUUGAGAGUGAAAUAGAUUUAUCUGCCUAGAGAAAAGCUCGCGGCUGAUUAGCUAGUUGGUAAGGUAAGAGCUUACCAAGGCGACGAUCAGUAUCUGGUUUGAGAGGACGAUCAGACACACUGGAACUGAGACACGGUCCAGACUCCUACGGGAGGCAGCAGUGGGGAAUUUUCCGCAAUGGGCGAAAGCCUGACGGAGCAAUACCGCGUGAGGGAAGACUGCCUAUGGGUUGUAAACCUCUUUUUUCAGGGAGGAAUCAAUGACGUGUACCUGAAGAAUAAGCAUCGGCUAACUCC
rnacentral:rRNA from 1 species